rnacentral:rRNA from 1 species
UCUCCGUUGGUGAACCAGCGGAGGGAUCAUUACCGAGUUUACAACUCCCAAACCCAAUGUGAACGUUACCAAACUGUUGCCUCGGCGGGAUCUCUGCCCCGGGUGCGUCGCAGCCCCGGACCAAGGCGCCCGCCGGAGGACCAACCAAAACUCUUAUUGUAUACCCCCUCGCGGGUUUUUUACUAUCUGAGCCAUCUCGGCGCCCCUCGUGGGCGUUUCGAAAAUGAAUCAAAACUUUCAACAACGGAUCUCUUGGUUCUGGCAUCGAUGAAGAACGCAGCGAAAUGCGAUAAGUAAUGUGAAUUGCAGAAUUCAGUGAAUCAUCGAAUCUUUGAACGCACAUUGCGCCCGCCAGUAUUCUGGCGGGCAUGCCUGUCCGAGCGUCAUUUCAACCCUCGAACCCCUCCGGGGGGUCGGCGUUGGGGAUCGGCCCUUUACGGGGCCGGCCCCGAAAUACAGUGGCGGUCUCGCCGCAGCCUCUCCUGCGCAGUAGUUUGCACACUCGCAUCGGGAGCGCGGCGCGUCCACAGCCGUUAAACACCCCAAACUUCUGAAAUGUUGACCUCGGAUCAGGUAGGAAUACCCGCUGAACUUAA